rnacentral:rRNA from 1 species
CUACGGGCGGCACCAGUGGGGAAUAUUGCACAAUGGAGGAAACUCUGAUGCAGCAACGCCGCGUGGAGGAUGACACUUUUCGGAGCGUAAACUCCUUUUAUAUAGGAAGAAGUUGACGGUACUAUAUGAAUAAGCGCCGGCUAACUCCGUGCCAGCAGCCGCGGUAAUACGGAGGGCGCAAGCGUUACUCGGAAUCACUGGGCGUAAAGAGCGUGUAGGCGGAUUAAAAAGUCAGAAGUGAAAUCCUAUAGCUUAACUAUAGAACUGCUUCUGAAACUCUUAAUCUAGAAUAUGGGAGAGGUAGAUGGAAUUUCUGGUGUAGGGGUAAAAUCCAUAGAGAUCAGAAGGAAUACCGAUUGCGAAGGCGAUCUACUAGAACAUUAUUGACGCUGAGACGCGAAAGCGUGGGGAGCAAACAGGAUUAGAUACCCUAGUAGUC